GACGAACGCUGGCGGCGUGCUUAACACAUGCAAGUCGAGCGGUAAGGCCCUUUCGGGGGGUACACGAGCGGCGAACGGGUGAGUAACACGUGGGUGACCUGCCCUUAGCUCUGGGAUAAGCCUGGGAAACUGGGUCUAAUACCGGAUAUGACUCCAUAACGCAUGUUGUGGGGUGGAAAGCCUUGUGCGGCUAGGGAUGGGCCCGCGGCCUAUCAGCUUGUUGGUGGGGUGAUGGCCUACCAAGGCGACGACGGGUAGCCGGCCUGAGAGGGCGACCGGCCACACUGGGACUGAGACACGGCCCAGACUCCUACGGGAGGCAGCAGUGGGGAAUCUUGCGCAAUGGGCGAAAGCCUGACGCAGCGACGCCGCGUGGGGAUGAC
rnacentral:rRNA from 1 species